rnacentral:misc_RNA from 1 species
UUAAGUUCAGCGGGUAUUCCUACCUGAUUCGAGGUCAACCUUUGGGUACAUUGGUGGUGGUUUUACGGCAGGGAGGCCGGCCCCGGCUGCAGGCGAGAUGGAGAAAAUCUACUACGCCCAGAGCGCGAAACCGGCUCCGCCACUGGAUUUGAGGAGCGACGGCAGGACGCCGUCGGCUCCCAACACUAAGCGACAAGGGC